rnacentral:rRNA from 1 species
GACCCAAUUACGUGCCAGCAGUCGCCGGUAACACGUAGAAGGACUAGUGUUAUUCAUCUUUAUUAGGUUUAAAGGGUACCUUGACGGAAAAUCCAGCCCUAAUAGGAACUAAUUUUCUAGAGUUUUAUGAAAGAAGGUGCGAAUUUCCGGAGGAAAGUUGAUAUUUUAUGAUACUGGAAGACGGGUAACGGCGAAGGCAACCUUCUAUGUAAAAACUGACGUUGAGGGACGAAGCCUUGGGUAACGAAAAGGAUUAGAUACCUAGUAGUCCUUGGAGAAAAUUAUGAAUGUCAUAGGUUAGAGGGAAAGUGAGUUAAUAGCAGCUUAGUUGUUGUGGUUAUGUAACCGUGCGUACAUUUCAACGGUUCAGAAUACAGAUAACUGAACCUUCAGCAACAAUUAAGACUUGUAUAGCUAUGCUAAACUGUAUUAGAAUUUGGUCUACACAAAUUGCUACUAAUCCGCCUAGGAUCAUAAACUGUAUUAGAAUUUAGUAUACACAAGACGCUACUAAUCAAUCUAUGAUCCUAUAUUGUAUUAAUAUAUAACAACAAGUAUAGUUGUUUCCCCCCCCCCCUUUCCAUAUUGGCCUAUAAAUGAAAGUGAAAGCAUUCCACCUCAUGAGUAAAGCGGCAACGCCCAAAUUGAAAUCAUUAGACCGUUUCUGAAACCAGUAGUGAAGUAUGUUAUUUAAUUCGAUAAUCCGCGAAUAACCUUACCACAUUAUGCAUUGAAUAUUAUUCAAUUAUUACAAGCGCUGCACGGCUGUCUUCAGUUAAUGUCGUGAGAUUUUGGUUUGUUCCAUAAAUUAACGAAAACCCUUGCUUUAUUUGUUUUUAUAAAGUAGUUCUCCAUUAUAAAGGAUAAGUUAAAAGGGACUAAGACAAGUCAUCAUGUCCUUAA